GUGGGUCCUUGGGAGAGACGGGAGCAGAGGUGGGGAGGGGCACGGCUCUGGAACCAGCUCCUGCACCUGUCCCAGGGCCCAAGUCACACAGCUUUUAAUUGGCCCAGGAUGCUCUCCUGUCUGGAUGUCACCCUGGGCAGAACCUUGAGAAUCGAAGGAUCUGAGGAGCAGGAGCAAGGAACGCAGGGAGAGAUCCAGGAAGACAUCUGACUGUGUUAAGAGACGACAGUCACAGCCACACGGGGAGCGAGGACACUUGCAGCAAAGUAAAACGACUUCACAACUAUUGCAUCAGAGCUGCCGGUGUGAGAGAGCCUAAGCCUGUCUCAGAGUGCAGGGGACAAGCGGAAAGGAAUGUGUAAGAAUGCUGGUGACUCAGUUAGAAGCAUGCUUUGAAGCUGUCCAUGUCCUCGCCAUAGAGAAGCAGAGCCUGGAAGCUUCGGAAUUUCUCCAGAAUGCAGUCUACAUUUACCUUCAGCAGGUGAGUUUAUGUCCGUUUAUAAGUGGAGGAAUUACUGCAGUUUUCCUGGAACUUACUUACCACUAGUCCAUCUGAUUUUUCUGUGCUAGGAUUGAAUAU